rnacentral:rRNA from 1 species
CCUACGGGGGGCUGCAGUGGGGAAUAUUGCACAGUGGGGGAAACCCUGAUGCAGCGACGCCGCGUGAGCGAUGAAGGCCUUCGGGUCGUAAAGCUCUGUCCUAAGGGAAGAUAAUGACGGUACCUUAGGAGGAAGCCCCGGCUAACUACGUGCCAGCACCCGCGGUAACACGUAGGGGGCAAGCGUUAUCCGGAAUCAAUGGGUGUAAAGGGUGCGUAGGCGGUAGGGGAAGUCAGAUGUGAAAGCCCGGGCCUCAACCACGGGAUUGCAUUUGGAACUGUCUUACGAGGGUGCAGGAGAGGAAAGAGGAAUUCCUAGUGUAGCGGUGAAAUGAGUCGAUAUUAGGAAGAACACCAGUGGCGAAGGCGGCUUUCUGGACUGUAACUGACGCUGAGGAACGAAAGCGUGGGGAGCGAACAGGAUUAGAUACCCGUGUAGUC